GGGGCCGUAGCUCAGCUGGGAGAGCGUCAGGCUGGCAGUCUGAAGGUCGCGGGUUCGAAUCCCGCCGGCUCCACCA
rnacentral:tRNA from 1 species